UGAGGAACAUGACCUUCGGCAGGGGAUAGCCGGCCCAACGGCCGGGUAAUACCGCGUACGACCUUUUGGGGACAUCCUCGAGAGGUGAAAGCAGCAAUGCGCCGAUGGAGUGCCUCGCGGCCUAUCAGCUAGUUGGUGAGGUAACGGCUCACCAAGGCGACGACGGGUAGCUGGUCUGAGAGGAUGGCCAGCCACAUUGGGACUGAGACACGGUCCAGACUCCGUAGGGAGG
rnacentral:rRNA from 1 species